rnacentral:rRNA from 1 species
GAUGAACGCUAGCGGCAGGCCUAACACAUGCAAGUCGAGGGAGAGGUUACCUUCGGGUCACCAAAACCGGCGCACGGGUGCGUAACGCGUAUACAAUCUGCCUUUCACAUAGGGAUAGCCCGAAGAAAUUUGGAUUAAUACCUAAUGGUAUAUAAGAGCGGCAUCGUUUUUAUAUUAAAGCUACGGUGGUGAAAGAUGAGUAUGCGUUCUAUUAGCUAGUUGGAGAGGUAACGGCUCCCCAAGGCGACGAUAGAUAGGGGUUCUGAGAGGGAUGUCCCCCACACUGGUACUGAGAUACGGACCAGACUCCUACGGGAGGCAGCAGUGAGGAAUAUUGGACAAUGGUCGGAAGACUGAUCCAGCCAUGCCGCGUGCAGGAUGAAGGUCCUAUGGAUUGUAAACUGCUUUUGUAAGGGAAGAAUAAGGAGUACGUGUACUUUGAUGACGGUACCUGACGAAUAAGCAUCGGCUAACUCCGUG